CAUAACGCUGCGCCUCCGCGUCUGCGACUCGGCUGAAGGAAAGGAAAGAUCGUCUGAGAUCCGUGUUAUAAAAAUGGCUUUUAUUAAAGAGGAGACCGAAGACGUGAUCGUAGAAACGUCGAGAGUCAAGCAUGAAGAUACCGAGGAACAAACGGACUCGAGGCUGCUGAAAAAGGAGAGUCAAAAACUGACUGAAACAACAGAUAAAGUUCAGUACGAAAAACGUGAUUUCAUAACCGGAGAGAAGUUUAGUUGCUCACAGGCUAAAAAGACCACUCGGGG